rnacentral:misc_RNA from 1 species
UGGUCAGUAGCUUACAGUAAGCGCGGGUGAGCAGUCGCUGCUGCCAGACCUCUGGAAAAACUGUUACCGGAUUACAACCUUAUUUAAAGUCCUAUGCGUGAAGAGGCGUCUGCUUAAGAAACUGGGAGAACUAAUUCACCGGAUCCACGUACUCCUGGUAUUGAGGGAGUCACGGCAGGGCCCCCGGCCACCACCAGCACAGGGCCCGGUCACCGCCAACUUAAGGCCCGGUUUACCGCCCGCCAACUUAGGGCCCAGUCACUGCCAACUUAGGGCCCAGUCACCGCCAACUUAGGGCCCAGUCACCGCCAACUUAGGGCCCGGUCACCGCCAACUUAGGGCCCAGUCACCGCCAUGAACACCCCAGCAUGGAUGAAGCGCUUUUGGGUCGACCUCGUAACAAAAGAAUUUGUUGCGAUUAAGGUCCUCUUUUUCCUCAUAUAUGGAGCCUCCAUGGCCAUGUUCCCGUUCCUGACGCUGCAGGCGAGGUCGCUGGGCAUCACCGAGAAGGAGCUGGGCGUCGUGUACGCCUUCAACCCGGUCAUCGCUAUCAUCGGCCCCCCGCUCACCGGCAUGCUGGCCGACAAGAUUGGUAACUUUAAGGCGUUCUUGAGCUUGACGAUGGCCGCCAGCGGGUGUGCGGCCUUGGUGUUCUCUGCGGUGCCUGCGGCCCGCCGCACCCACCACCUGCCGGAGCAGCUGGUCUUCAGCGUGGCCUGCGGGGACGACGGAGCCACCAUCCUCAGACCCGAGGCUCCCUAUCACUGCGACUACCGCCCCCUCCUCCACAACCUCUCCCUCGCCCUCACCAACUGCUCCCUCUGCCACCCCACCAGUGAUGUGUCUGGAGAUGAAACAGGGCCCUGGAGUGGGGCCCCGUGUCAGGGCCCCGGGUGGGCCCAGUGCCAGGGGCCAGAGGUGGUGGUGGCCCCUCAGGCCAUGGUCAUCACCGCCGCCAACACCACCACCACCACCACAGCUCUCACCACCACAGCUCUCAACACCACAGCUGUCAACACCACAGCUCUACACAUCCUAGACGGGUCCUGUGCUGGCGUCUCUGUGCUGGAGAGUGCGAGCGAGGCUACGGUGAAGGAGGCAGCGUACACCGUCGGGGCGCGGGAGGCGGCCUGCAGCCUGCACUGCUCGGCCCUCCUGCCCCGGGAACACCUCUGCACCAACACCAAGACCGUGGAGGUGUUGGACCCCAUGAUCACCUUCUGGUGCUACCUCAUGGUCCGCGUCCUCAACGGCCUCACCUUAGCGACGAGCUUCACCUUGUUCGACGGGGCCGCCAUGGCCAUCCUGAAGGAGCACAAGGGCGAGUACGGCCUCCAGCGUCUCUACGGCAACGUGGGUGCCAUCGUCGUCACGCCCAUCUCCGGCGUCCUCAUUGAUGUCGUCUCCGACAUGAGCGGCAGCCAGGACUACAGUCCUGCCUUCUACCUGUACUGCGGCCUCAAGGUCCUCGCCGCCGUCCUCAUCCUCUUCGUCGACCUCGACUUCCGGCAGCCGUCAAAUAGGGUGGUGAAGGACUUCCGCUUCCUACUGAAGCAGCCGGAGAUCAUCAUCUUCCUGCUGGUGAUGCUCAUCUCUGGGACGUGCUUCGGACUGCUGGACACGUUCCUCUUCUGGCUGCUGCAAGACAUGGGCGCUAAGAAGUACCUGAUGGGCAUCACUGUGACCGUGGGCAGCCUCGCCGGCAUCCCUACCCUUAUUGCCUCGGAAUUUUUCUUUAAGAAACUUGGACACGCCAAUACCAUUAUCCUCGGAUUUGCUUUCUAUGUCAUAAGGAUGUUGGGUUACUCCUUCAUCACGAACCCUUGGUGGGUGAUGCCCUUCGAGGCGCUGGAGUGCUUCACGGUGUCGCUGAUGGGCGCGGCGGCCGUGUCCUACGCGGCGGCGCUCUCCACGCCCUCCACCCUCGCCACUCUUCAGGGCGUCUACGGCGGCAUCCACUUCGGUGUUGGUCGCGGCAUGGGCAGCCUCUUGGGCGGGUUCCUGAUGGGCCCCAUCGGCGUCCGCAACACCUUCCGGCUCAUGGCUGUCGUCUGCGCCGUCACCUGCAUCGCCUACUUCAUAAUCAACCGUUUGUUCUUCCAAAAGCUUCAGGUGGAACGAGAACAGAAGAGAGUGGAGGAGGAAACCAAGGAGAACCACGCCAUGGAGAAGCAUCAUAAUGGCGUCGUGGAAAAUGGGAUAAAGAGAAGCAUGGAGGAUGAGACAGACAGCGCUGUGAAAGUAAAGGUGGACAGUGUUCAUGAUACGAGCAGCGGGAAGGAACAUUAUAACAAAGCGUUUGAGAAGAACGAGUAAUACCACUUCGUCUUCUGGGUGUACAGACUGCGUCUGGUCUGGACGUGUGUACAGACUGCGUCUGGUCUGGACGCAUAGCAUCACUUGGAAUACUAUAUGUACAAUUUUUAGUUAGGACGAGUAGUGCUGCUUGGGUGUAUUGCCAGCACAGAUUAGUUUCAACGUGCUGAUGCUUUCUUAGCAGUUACUCGAAUGUUAUUCUUUUAUUUACGAAAGUGAAUUUACGUUGUUUUAAUUGGGUGUAUCAGACCAUUGUCCCAGCAGAACAACGAUGCUACCUCGUUGAGCAAUCCAGGUCAUAAUGUCGCUGAACGUUGAUAAUGUUGAUAAACGGCCAGUUAUGUAAAUUUAAGAUAAAUGGGAUUUUGGUGUUCAUAGUAACAUGGAUUUUGGAGACGGCGAUGAGCUUGUUAUAUAUGGUAUGAACAAGUCUUCGUGGAUCUCGAUUUUGACCUCUUAAUAUUGCCAAAAAUGAAAGGCAAAAAGCCUGGCGUGUUACGUUUAAUUACAUUUGCAUUAUUACACAGCUGUUUUCGUGACGGCUGCAAUAUAAAAACAAAAUAUAUAAUUGAAGUAUAUUUGUAUUACAUGAGAGCAGGACUCUUACUUGGUGGUGUUUUGUGUAGCCCCAGGCUACCUGCUGUGCCCUCCACGCUAGUAGUAGCACCAGGCUACCUGCCGUGUCCUCCACGCUAGUAGUAGCACCAGGCUACCUGCCAUGUCCUCCACGCUAGCAGUAGCACCAGGCUAGCUACCGUGUCCUCCACGCUAGCAGUAGCACCAGGCUAGCUACCGUGUCCUCCACGCUAGCAGUAGCACCAGGCUAGCUACCGUGUCCUCCACGCUAGCAGUAGCACCAGGCUACCUGCCAUGUCCUCAACGCUAGCAGUAGCACCAGGCUAGCUACCGUGUCCUCCACGCUAGCAGUAGCACCAGGCUAGCUACCGUGUCCUCCACGCUAGCAGUAGCACCAGGCUACCUGCCAUGUCCUCAACGCUAGCAGUAGCACCAGGCUAGCUACCGUGUCCUCCACGCUAGCAGUAGCACCUGGCUAGCUACCGUGCCCUCCACGCUAGCAGUAGCACCAGGCUACCUGCCGUGCCCUCCACGCUAGUAGUAGCACCAGGCUACCUGCCAUGUCCUCCACGCUAGCAGUAGCACCAGGCUAGCUACCGUGUCCUCCACGCUAGCAGUAGCACCAGGCUACCUGCCGUGUCCUCCACGCUAGUAGUAGCACCAGGCUAGCUACCGUGUCCUCCACGCUAGCAGUAGCACCAGGCUAGCUACCGUGCCCUCCACGCUAGCAGUAGCACCAGGCUAGCUACCGUGCCCUCCACGCUAGCAGUAGCACCAGGCUAGCUACCGUGCCCUCCACGCUAGCAGUAGCACCAGGCUAGCUACCGUGCCCUCCACGCUAGCAGUAGCACCAGGCUAGCUACCGUGCCCUCCACGCUAGUAGUAGCACCAGGCUACCU